rnacentral:rRNA from 1 species
GACGAACGCUGGCGGCGCGCCUAACACAUGCAAGUCGAACGAGAGAUGAGGAGCUUGCUCUUCAAAUCGAGUGGCGAACGGGUGAGUAACGCGUGAGGAACCUGCCUCAAAGAGGGGGACAACAGUUGGAAACGACUGCUAAUACCGCAUAAGCCCACGGCUCGGCAUCGAGCAGGGGGAAAAGGAGCAAUCCGCUUUGAGAUGGCCUCGCGUCCGAUUAGCUAGUUGGCGAGGUAAUGGCCCACCAAGGCGACGAUCGGUAGCCGGACUGAGAGGUUGAACGGCCACAUUGGGACUGAGACACGGCCCAGACUCCUACGGGAGGCAGCAGUGGGGAAUAUUGCACAAUGGGGGAAACCCUGAUGCAGCGACGCCGCGUGGAGGAAGAAGGUCUUCGGAUUGUAAACUCCUGUUGUUGAGGAAGAUAAUGACGGU